CAUUCAGGAUGUUACAACUUUAAAGGCUGUAAGGGUGUCUAGGGAAAUGUCCCUCCUCAAACUUGGAAUGAAGUAUUGGAAGGAAUAAAGUAAACAGGGGAAAGAAGUGAAAGAAGGAAGAAUUGGACAGAAGAAACAAUUUCAGGAAUGGAAUUAAAGAGAGAAAAUGCAUAUUACAUGUGGGAAAAGAGUGAGUGGUUCAGUUUGGUUAGUCCAUACCACGUAAAAUAGAAAAG